rnacentral:sRNA from 2 species
UGAGCAUAGAAUAAGUUUGUUGCUUGUGGAAGUAGGGUUCAAUUCCCUCACUGUGCCGCAACGGUAAAUGUCGUCUCUUUGGCGAUUUAGUCCGGUCUUCAAGUGAUAAGUUCUAAUCAACGAAUCCAUACGAAUCUUAGCGAAUAGUUUUA